rnacentral:rRNA from 1 species
AGCAGUCGCCACGGUAAUACGUAGGUGGCAAGCGUUGUCCGGAAUUAUUGGGCGUAAAGCGCGCGCAGGUGGUUUAAUAAGUCUGAUGUGAAAGCCCACGGCUCAACCGUGGAGGGUCAUUGGAAACUGUUAAACUUGAGUGCAGGAGAGAAAAGUGGAAUUCCUAGUGUAGCGGUGAAAUGCGUAGAGAUUAGGAGGAACACCAGUGGCGAAGGCGGCUUUUUGGCCUGUAACUGACACUGAGGCGCGAAAGCGUGGGGAGCAAACAGGAUUAGAUACCCCUGUAGUCCCUGUCUCUUAUAC